GAUGAACGCUGGCGGCGUGCUUAACACAUGCAAGUCGAACGAAGCACUUUAUUUGAUUUCCUUCGGGACUGAUUAUUUUGUGACUGAGUGGCGGACGGGUGAGUAACGCGUGGGUAACCUGCCUUGUACAGGGGGAUAACAGUUGGAAACGGCUGCUAAUACCGCAUAAGCGCACAGCAUCGCAUGAUGCAGUGUGAAAAACUCCGGUGGUAUAAGAUGGACCCGCGUUGGAUUAGCUAGUUGGUGAGGUAACGGCCCACCAAGGCGACGAUCCAUAGCCGACCUGAGAGGGUGCCCGGCCACAUUGGGCCUGAGACACGGCCCAAACUCCUACGGGAGGCAGCGGUGGGGAAUAUUGCACAAUGGGCUAAAGCCUGAUGCAGCGACGCCGCGUGAGCGAAGAAGUAUUUCGGUAUGUAACGCUCUAUCAGCAGGGAAGAUAAUGACGGUACCUGACUAAGAAGCACCGGCUAAAUACGUG
rnacentral:rRNA from 1 species